GUCAGGAGAGCUGUGAACUGAGUCCCUCUGUCGGAUAGGAUCUCCUGGGGGAAACCUACCCGGGAGAAUAUUUUGACCAGUGCCUCGGCUACCGUUUCAGCCUCUAUAUUGGGAAGGGCUACGGCUUUGGGGUACCGAGUGGCAUAGUCCACUACGGUGAGUAUGAACCUUUUACCAGACUGACUGGGCCGACUGAGGGGUCCUAUUAAAUCUACCGCUACCUGGUGGAACGGCUCGUCUAUGAUGGGUAACGGGUGGAGCUUCGCUUUUUGGUGGUCACCCCGUUUCCCUAUUUUCUGGCAAACGUCACAGGUCCUGCAAUAGUACUUGAGGUCUUGAGUGAUCCUGGGCCAGAAGAAAGUUUGGGUCAGGCGGUCCCUAGUCUUCUUAACACCUAAAUGUCCGGCUAGGGGAAUAUCAUGGCUGAGUCUUAAUAACUCAGCCCGAAACUUGCGGGGCACUACCAGUUGUCUUUUAG